CGCAUCUGUGCAUGCAGCAUAUCAAUAAGCGAGGAAAAGAAACUAACAAGGAUUCCCCUAGUAACGGCGAGUGAAGCGGGAAGAGCUCAAAUUUGAAAUCUUAAAGAGUUUCCCUUUACGAGUUGUAGUUUAAAGAAGUGUUUUCUGUUGAGGUUUUGGUAAAAGUUCUCUGGAAUAGGACAUCAUAGAGGGUGAGAAUCCCGUAUUUGACCUUUACUUUCAACUUUGUGAUACACUUUCAAAGAGUCGGAUUGUUUGGGAAUGCAGUCCAAAAUGGGUGGUAAAUUUCAUCUAAAGCUAAAUAUUGGCGAGAGACCGAUAGCGAACAAGUACCGUGAGGGAAAGAUGAAAAGAACUUUGAAAAGAGAGUUAAACAGUACGUGAAAUUGUCAAAAGGGAAGCGUUUGACACCAGUGUUGUUUUUCUGAAAAUCAAUUAAAGAACUGUUUAUGCUAAGCUGUUUAGACUUUAUCAGCUAUCUGUUUAGUUUUGAGCUUUUCUUUAAUGCACUUUUCAGUUAACAAGUCAACAUCAAUUUCUUUUGCUGUAAAAAAGCUUGAGGAAGGUGGCUUGAGAUUCGUCUUAAGUGUUUAUAGCCUCUUGCCUAUGCAGUCGGAGAGAUUGAGGUCUGCAGCGUAGAUCCUUCGGGGCUAAAUGCAUUUGUGCUAAGUUAUAGCAUUUUAUAGACAACUUGUUGACUAUGAUUUGUCUUGUAGCUUACUCGCUUAUGUUAUUUUACCUACGCUUAGGAUGUUGAAUCUGUGCGAGACUAC
rnacentral:rRNA from 1 species